UCGAUGAAGAACGCAGCGAAAUGUGAUAAGUAAUGUGAAUUGCAGAAUUCAGUGAAUCAUCGAAUCUUUGAACGCACCUUGCACCCUUUGGUAUUCCAAAGGGUACACCCGUUUGAGUGUCAUUGUAAUCUCACUUCAUCAGCUUUGUUGAUGGAGGUGGACUUGGACUCUGUUGUGUCAUUACAACUGGUCUGAAAUGUGUGAGUGCACCCUGCUGUUGCAGCGUCCUCAGUGUGAUAAGCAUCUUCACUGAAUCAAGUUCCUUUGGGACACGUGUGUAAUGUGGGCUCUGUGCUGGCAAACUGUCUUUGGACAAUCUUGACAAUUUGACCUCAGAUCGGGUGGGACUACCCGCUGAACUUAA
rnacentral:rRNA from 1 species